rnacentral:rRNA from 1 species
AACGAACGCUGGCGGCAUGUCUAACACAUGCAAGUCGAACGAGAUCUUCGGGUCUAGUGGCGCACGGGUGCGUAACGCGUGGGAAUCUGCCCUUUGGUUCGGAAUAACAGUUGGAAACGACCGCUAAUACCGGAUGAUGACGAAAGUCCAAAGAUUUAUCGCCAGAGGAUGAGCCCGCGUAGGAUUAGCUAGUUGGUGUGGUAAAGGCGCACCAAGGCGACGAUCCUUAGCUGGUCUGAGAGGAUGAUCAGCCACACUGGGACUGAGACACGGCCCAGACUCCUACGGGAGGCAGCAGUGGGGAAUAUUGGACAAUGGGCGAAAGCCUGAUCCAGCAAUGCCGCGUGAGUGAUGAAGGCCUUAGGGUUGUAAAGCUCUUUUACCCGGGAUGAUAAUGACAGUACCGGGAGAAUAAGCUCCGGCUAACUCCGUGCCAGCCGCCGCUGUAA